UACUAUUCUAGCCUCAGUCUCUACUUUCAAGAAGCUAAUCAUCCAGGAGAGGAAAGGAAGAUGGGGAUUCCAGAGAGACUUCUCAGAUCUCUCUGGUAGCAGUGUUGGCAGUGGAUUGGACGGGUACUACUGAAGUCUAAGAAAUGAAUUAGAAGAUCACUCUAGGCUUCAAGGUAAGAAAUGACGUGAGGAUUGGAAUUAAGGCAUGCCAUCGGAAUGGAGAAGAGAUGGACUUGAGAAGUCCUAAGGAAAGAGAAUCAAUGCAUACAAACUCAAGAUGUGAAAGGAAGAGUGACUAGAGGUCUGGUGGCUUUACCCCCUUGAAUACUUUCUAAGCCCACCCCCAACACAAGUACUAGUCAAAUACCUACUUCUUCUUCCCUAUGUCUUACCAUUGGUGUGCACAAGCAGAUGAGAAGAAGCUGGGAGAGGUUACGGCUUCAUUUUUAGCAUCUAGGGAGCACUGUUUUACAAACUUGCUAACCCUCCUUACAAAACCUUAUCCAUUUGUAUUCCUCAAAUCUGUUUACCGUUGGACCUGUCUUCCAGUCCAUUCUUCCAAGCCCUAUUUUCCUUCCUUGGCUGCUCUGCUCUUUCACAUUCCCUUGACUGAUAUUGUCCAGAAAUCCCUAACAUUCACUCACUCGCACAUUCAGUCAACAUUUGUUAAUUUCCUACUAUAGACAAAGAGAAGAGAGUGAUCAAAGAGCAACCCCUCCAUGACACCCAAGCACUUUCUGUAGCUUUGAGGCAGAAGAGCAGGGUAGAAAAAUAUAACUACAGUGGGAUUAGCAAAAAAUGAGCCCAUCAGCAAGGCUUUAAUGAACUCAGUGUGAGCCCAAACUCUGCAAGAAUCAGAGAAGGCUCCACACAGAUUUAUAGAUUUCACUGUCUAUGGUCAACAGCAAAGGUAGGGACACAUGUAACUUGGGCUAUUUUCUUUUGGAGGUCCCUCUGGCCCAUCUCACCUGCAUGAUCUCCUAGAUGUGCUUUCACUUGCCAGCAUGCAAGCAGCAAAACAAUAAUUUUAUUUUAAAAUAAUUAUAUUUUAAACAGUAAAUAUUUAAUAUUAAACAGUAAAUAUAUAUGAAACAGUAAAUAUUUAAAAUAAUUAGUGUUUAGGGCUAGAAAAGUGGAAUUUAGAGGGUCAUUAGCAGUUAUCCUCCUGCCUAGAAGUGUAGCUUAAUCUCCAGCCUUAAUGACUCCCUGCCAACUGAUUUGUCUCUAGUAUAACUAACCACAAAGGAUGAGAAGAGAGAAAGAAUUGGAAAGGGAUCCUUAUUCUGAGUUUUAGCAUAUACUGGCCUCAAGAGCCACAUUCAACACUGGAAUUAAGCUACAUUCCUCUUUCUCGUCAGGCACUUCAUUCACCACAAAUGAACAAAAUAUUUCUGGUUCGUUUCUGGAAAGGAAGUGAAACUGUGAAUUCAGGUUACCCAACAGGGAAGGCACAGUAGGAAGAACAAUAGCUGAGCACAUCAGUACCAGCUUCAUAGAGACCAGCAAGCAAGAUGGGGUGGGACAGAGGAUCAGUACAUCUAAUGGUCUGAUAUAAUGCUUCAUGGUUUCACAGAAGCGCAGUUGGGAACAAUUUAACAUGGUUCGUGACAGCCAAGAAACACUUGUUUGUCUGAAAAUCCUAGACUGCUGACAUCAGGGCCCAGGGGAUUCCUAUUGGGCUGAGGCAAUGCAAAGACUACAAAAAAGGCAAAGCUGUAAAUCAUGCCCUAGAGGUCAAAACACUUACACAAGGUUACACAUGGAAUUCUUGCAGCCAACCAAAUUGGACUUUCUUUGAAGCUAGGUAAACAAUCUUUGUCUUGGCUGCUAUGUCACAGCCAUAUAAGAUGGCAAAAUACAGCUGCAAAAAGGCUUUCAGCAGUUUCACCUAGUUUACCUUCUAUGUCUAACACCCAGUAGACCAGAAGAUUCCCCUGACGAGACUGUUUCCUUGGAGCAUGAUCCUUCGUGUUCUCACACUGUCCUUUCCCCAUUUCUUUAGUCAGUUGUAUGGGAUGCACAAACAUUUUACUACCUGUAAAGCACGUGAGUUACAGCCUCAUGAGUUUGGAGCGAUACAUUAUUUUUGGCAUAAGUCGACAAAUGUGAUGGCAUUUUAUGGCAGUUUCAUAGGCCCUUUCCUAAUUUCUGUGUACUUGCAUCUUCCUUGAAAAUCAGAACCAAUUCUCCCAGCCUCCUUAUUAAUAGGAAAGCGAAAUUUCUUCUCUUUGAGCUACAGGUUCACCCCCAUUUCCAGGUCAUAUUCAUUUCAUUGCUUAAAUCUAUUUCAACUGUAACUUUUUGUUACAGUUUAACAAUUUGUUAAAUUGUUAAACUUUUUAACAACGUUUAUCAACUUUGUUCAUAAAAUUAUCACCAAUUACAUAUCCCUGGUUCAGAGGCUCAAAGUUAUUUAUGUUGUAACUACUUCUUCAUGUUUUGAAACCUUCUCUAAAAACUCUCAAGUUUGCUUUCAAUUUUUCCAAUGAUUUUUUUCUAACUCCUAGGAUCUCCUCAGUCCCCAGGGAGCUCACACUCCAAGGCCCACAUCUAGUUCUAAACAACCCCAAAUGAAACAUUAUAGCAUCUUGCAUUAGUCUAUUCUUACGCUGCUAAUAAAGACAUACCCUAAACUGGGUAAUUUAUAAAGAAAAAGAGGUUUAAUGGACUCACAGUGUCACAUAGCUGGGGAGGCCUCACAAUCAUGGCAGAAAGCGAAAGAGGAGAAAGGCACAUCUUACAUGGCCACAGGCAGGAUUGCGUGUGCAGGGGAACUCCCCUUUAUAAAACCAUCAGAUCUCUUAUUCACUAACAGGAAAACAGUGUGGGAAAGACCCGCCCCCACGAUUAAAUUACCUCCCACAGGGACAAUUCCCAUGACAUGUAGGAAUUAUGGGAAUGAUAAUUCAAGCUGAGAUUUGGGUGGGGACACAGCCAAACCAUAUCACACCGCUUCAGACAGACUUUAUUGGUCUUAUUUUCUGCCCAUUUGAAUUAUUUUACCAUCUAGUUUUCAUUCGAGUUUUUGUGGGGAUUUUGUUGGGAGAUGGGUGUUCUUCUGCAUGUAGUUAAGCUGUGUUGGCAAGACUGUGGGAGUCAGGGAGGUCAAAGGAGCCGGAAUGUAAGUAUGGAAGGUCAAAGCUGGGGCGGAGGGAAAAAGUGAGGGAGACAGAGAUUGAGUCUCUAUAAAAUUCCAACCUGCUGCAGUAGCUAAUCCUUUCAAAGUCACUUCAUAUACUGCUAAGUUAAUGGAGGCAGUCAUUUUUCCCAGACAGUGGUAAUAUUUGUUACCUGGACAACCUACUCAUUUAUUCUCUACCCCUCCCCUAAAUAGGACUGCAGUCAUUUCUGUGUGAAAACAAAACUCACAGUUCAACAGAGCCAUACCAUUUAGUUUGUUUAAUUACAAUGCUUAUUUUUAUAAAUACCCAGCAGCACAUUUUUAGAAAUCUAACAAAUAAGCAAAUACAUCCUUAGAUCACAGACACAGCUCUCCUAUUUUGUUUGGUACAAAAAGGAAAGAACACUUAUCACACCUACACACUAUUAUUUCCCCAUUUCCAUCCACUUAAAUGCACUUAAAUCCACUUAAAUGGAGAAAUGACACGAUUCCUAGUUUUCUAAACCAUAACUAGAAUUUCCUCUGGGGAAUUAGUGUGAAUACUCUCAGAAAAUCUUUUGCAAUGAUAUUUAAUUCCUCUUUUGUACUUUAAAACGACUUCAUAACUGAUCAAAUAAGCAAAAAAAAAUUGUGGGGGUGGGGUGGGGGGCAUACACAGGCUAGAGAAUAACUAGAAGGCUAUUCCAGAAACCCACCAAGACUUUGAUUUUGGAAACUGACCAGAUGGCUUCACUGGUGAAUUUUUCUGAAUGUUUAAAGAAGGAAUAACACUACUCUUACAUAAACUCUGUGAGUAUGGAGAAACAGGAAACAUUUCCAAACUUGUUUAUGAGGCCAGCAUAAUCCAGAUUUAAAAAAACUGGCAAAGACAUUAUAAGAACAGUGAAUUAUAACCCCAUAUAUCUCAUGAACUUAAAUGCAAAAAAUAUUUUUAAUAAAUUAUUAGAUAUGCAUAUGGAAAAAUGAAACCUGAGCCUUAACUUAUGCUAAUUCCAAAUGGAUUGUAGAUACAUCUAAAUAUAAAUGCUUUGAGAAUAAUACAGUUUUGAGAAGAAAAUAUAGAAUAUUUAAUGGCCAUGGGGAAGGCAAAGAUUUCUUAAGUAAGACACAAAAAACAUUAAUCAUAAACCACAACAAAUUACAUUUCAUUAAAUUAGACUUUAUUAAAAUAAUAAAUGCUCUUUAUCAAGAGACAGUAUCAACUAAAUGAAAAGUCACAGAGAGGGAAAAUAAUUUUUUAAUAGAUAUGUUUAACAAAAGACUUGUAUCUAAAAUAUAUAAAGAACGACUAAAGCUCAAUAAAGAAAAGCAAACUAAUUUUUAGAGGGCAAAAACUCUAAACAGGCACUUCAUAAAAAACUUUACCUAAAGGUUCAAUAAGAACUUUUAGAAAGUGCUCAAGAUUGAUAGCCAGUAGGAAAGAGCAAACUAAAACCACAAUGAAAUAUCAUGACACAUCUGCCAGAAUGGUUGAAAUUUUUUAAAAUGAUGAUACCAAGGGUCAGAAAGGAUAUGGAGCAACCAGAACUCAUACGCUGCUGUUUAGCACUACCUCUUUGGAAAAUUGAUUGGCAAUAGCUAUUAAAGAUAAAUAUACAAACCCCUUUGAUCCAGCAUUUCUACUUCUAGGUACCUACCCUGAAGAAAUGAGUAUGUAUUUAUACUAUAAGGCAAGAUAAGAUACCUACCCUGAAGAAAUGAGUAUGUAUUUAUACUAUAAGACACAGAUGAGAAUUUUUAUAGCAGUAUUCUAUUCAUAGCCCCUAACUAGAAACAACCCAAAUGACUACCAACAGGAGAAUGGAGAAAUUAUGACAUAUUUAUACAAUGAAUGUUUUACAGCAAUAAUAAAGAAUAACUACUAGUAUAUGCAACAAGGAAAAUUUCACAGAAAUGAUGUUAAACUUAAAAAGCUAGCAGAAAAAAGUACAUUUUGUAUUAUUUUGUUUUAUUAAGUUCAAAGAAAGGCAAAAAUAACCUAUAAUGAUAGAUUUUUUUAAAAAGCUCCCAAA
rnacentral:lncRNA from 10 species